CGACGGCGGUAUAUUCCUCUGCCAGUGCGCCGGUGGACGACGACGAGUCGCGAUCAUCCGGCCGGAUACCCCCCUCCCCGAUCGCCGGAUCGGUCGUUACACGUUAUUGUAGGAGUCUCCCGCGGACGGACCUUGCGGCGGACUACUCGCAGCUUGCGUUAACGUAUAAGUAUACGGCGGAGUCACAAAUAUACGCGGGGGAUACGUUUGCGUACGGAGAUAUACGUUGUUGUUGUACGUAUAUAUACACGCGCGGGAGAGAUACUCCACGAGAGAGCCAAGAUGCCGCUCUUCGGGAAGAAGGACACGAACAA